rnacentral:rRNA from 1 species
UACGUAGGUGGCAAGCGUUGUCCGGAUUUAUUGGGUUUAAAGGGUGCGUAGGCGGCCCGGUAAGUUAGUGGUGAAAGCCUCCAGCUCAACUGGAGAACUGCCAUUGAUACUGCCGGGCUUGAGUACAGACGAGGUUGGCGGAAUUGAUUGUGUAGCGGUGAAAUGCAUAGAUACAAUCAAGAACUCCGAUUGCGUAGGCAGCUAACUAGGCUGUAACUGACGCUGAGGCACGAAAGCGUGGGGAGCGAACAGG